AAACUUUACAAUGCACGAAAGUGUGAUAGGGGAACUCAGCGUGCUCAUGGAAACCAUGGGCUUUUCUCUAGAGUAAAUAUCUAGGGGAAUAAUGGAUGGGCAAGACCGGUGCCAGCAGCCGCGGUAACACCGGCGUCCUGAGUGGGAAUCACUUAUUGGGUCUAAAGCGCUCGUAGUUGGCUUUGUCGAUCUCUUGUGAAAUCGUGUCGCUUAACGGCACGGCGUGCAGGAGACACCGCAGAGCUUGGGACUGGGAGGCGUCAGAAGUAUUCCUUAGGGAGCGGUAAAAUGUGAUAAUCAAGGAGGACUACCUGUGGCGAAGGCGUCUGACGAGAACAGGUUCGACAAUCAGGAGCGAAGGCUAGGGGAGCAAACCGGAUUAGAUACCCGAGUAGUCCUAGCAGUAAACACUGUGUGCAAGGUGUUGCAUCUACAAUAGGUAGAUGCAGUAUCGAAGCGAAGGCACUAAGCACACCACCUGGGAAGUACGGUCGCAAGACUGAAACUUAA
rnacentral:rRNA from 1 species